UUGGCUCAGAACGAACGCUGGCGGCAUGCCUUACACAUGCAAGUCGAACGGCAGCGCGGACUUCGGUCUGGCGGCGAGUGGCGAACGGGUGAGUAAUACAUCGGAACGUACCCUGUUGUGGGGGAUAACUAGUCGAAAGAUUAGCUAAUACCGCAUACGACCUGAGGGUGAAAGUGGGGGACCGCAAGGCCUCACGCAGCAGGAGCGGCCGAUGUCUGAUUAGCUAGUUGGUGGGGUAAGAGCCUACCAAGGCGACGAUCAGUAGCUGGUCUGAGAGGAC
rnacentral:rRNA from 1 species